ACACCAGAGACCCGAGUUUGGGCUCGGUGCUUCCACCGUAGACGCCCCUAAUUUCACAGGCUCAGCACGGCAUCCACGGGUGGGCGACAUCCACAACCAGCGCUCUGCGCGCUCAAGGGGAGGCGGGAGCCCAGGAAGUGGAGAGAUCUCAGCGACCUAGGGCGGCAGUAAAUCUCUAUGCCUUCACCGUCAGCACACACAGCGCAAUCUCCCCAUGGAUUUUGGUUUUAACAAAAGAAAUAUUUUAAAAAGGUCUGUUUCGAUUGCUCAAUUGUUGCUACAUCAACUAAUGGCAGUACGGAUGAGAUGCAUACCGAGUGAAAUUUUCUCCUUCCCAGUAGCAACUCUUCUGUUUAUUUGGCCAAGCAAAAGGAAACAUGACGAAUGGCAGUAAUUCAGACAAUAUCAAGUUUGUGACGUAUCUCCAAUUACAUGUGUUUUUGUUGCCUUGCAUAUGCACAACAGGUUUGGUUGAAGCCUUGAAGGUAAUGUGGUGUGGAAUUUUCUUACAAUCCAUAUUUUGAUUCGUAAUUUUGGUAAUGCUCUGCAAUGGUGUGGUGGUUGUGUAAUGCUUGAAUAAGUUCAGUGUUAGCUACCUUUGCAAGGAUCAUCCUAUUGGUCCAGGUUGAUAAAUUUGUACAUGUGACCUUUACUUCCAGACUAUUAUGCUUAAAGUCAGAGAUUGUAAAAGAAAAGCAGAACUGCUAUUUUGGCUGUCUCAAAACCAUAAUAGCAAAAAUGGCUCUUUGAUCUAAACCUGAAGUUAUUUUUUUGAUAUAUGGAUGUACCACUUACAACUAGAUUCAAGCUAUUGUAAUGACCACUGAUGCUUCUAUGGAUUUAAAAUAGAGGAGAUAAUUAUAAUUGUCACCAGUUCUUUAUAGCAUUAGUAACAGAAAAAAAUAAUCGUGUCUUUGACUAUUUGCUCCUUUAGAACAGUGAUUGGCUUCUGCUAAGCAUAGGUCUUGUUCGUGUUGAGGGUGAGGUGAGAUCUGAAUUUCACGAAGCUCCUUAGCUUUAUCUAAUUCUUAUUCAAUUUCCCCAUGGAUAAAAUGUUAUUGUACUUUAGUAGAUAAUCUUAUCAAUAAUCUUAGUAGAUAAGCUUAUAGAUAAUUUUUCCUCCUAUAUUCUCAGAUUGAGUGAAAUGAUGUUAUAUGUCCUUGACAAAGUUUUUAGGUCUUAGUACAAUGAUACUUGCCUUUCUAUUUAUUUCUAUUAUGGUGUCUUAUUAUCAGUGUAACAAGUAUUCCACCAUGAUGUUGCUUUCAGUUAAAAAGGUUUUAGUUGUAAGUUACAUGAUGAUCCCAAUCACAUUGCCUGACAAUGGACAAACAGUAACGCUUGACCAAUGCACUAUAUCUGGUAGUAGCCGUGUUGGGCCAGCGGCAACAUAGUGGUGUUGCCGUGGUUUUUCUGAUGCAUUUUUUGGGCCAGUGGAGUAAUGGACAAUGGCGAGGUUUGUCAAACAUGUGGUGGCUGGAUCCUGAUGGUGAUGACAGAGCUGCUGCUUCCUGAUGAGUGAUGACAGAUCGAGCUGCCGCUGAUCAGGGUCUCUGAUGGAGGGGUACUUCAGCCUGACGGUGAAUGGGUACAUGGACAGAUAUGCAGUGAGAUUGGGAGGAUGCCUGGUGUGCUUGAAGCUGCCACCAGUUUGUGCUGUUUCUUUCGCUGAUGUAUUUAGCUUCUAAGACAAUAGAUAUAUAGUUAGGUUGUUGUGGGAAGAUAAAUCGUUGCUGGGGUUUCAGACCUGUUUUUGUUUUGAUUUGCUGCGCAGAGUGGUUUGCUAGGUGUUGUUUUGCUUGGGCGUAAGAUGAUGUAAAACUUUUAUAUCCUGUUGCAAGGCAUGAUGGGCAAGAAAAUUUGUCUCU